rfam:Nelumbo nucifera unplaced genomic scaffold scaffold00007, whole genome shotgun sequence
UUGGGAAAGCGAUGUUGGUGAGGUUCAAUCCGAAGACUGAUUUACACUUGAACUGUGGAAACGAUCUCAGAUUGAGCCGCGCCAAUAUCACUUUCUGUACA